rnacentral:misc_RNA from 1 species
UGGCAACUAUCUCUAAUUUUAAAUUUUGUUUAACUGGGUUUUAACCUAUCUGAGUGGACUAACCACUAUGAUUUAAGAAACUUUGAUUAGUCAUUACCUGUGCUCUUAUGGAAAAAUUAUAUAGUGAAGCAGUGAUACCAUGUCAUCAUUUUAUAUGAAAUGAUAAAGCAAUAUGGGAUUAAUAAAUAUAAUUAUUGAAAUUUA